rnacentral:lncRNA from 1 species
UCAAAGAAAUUUGAAACCAACAAUAAGAAUUCUUAAAGAAAUAUUAGAAUGAUCACAAAUAUCACUCAAAUACAUCUCAAUUCAAUCUUUAUUUAAUUCUAGUCAAAAUCCUAUUGAACUUCAUUCAAACUUUAGGCCAAAACUAAUUAAAUCUUUAACCCUUAUAAAAUCCUAAACCCUAAAUCAAAUCCUAAACAAACCUUAAAUCAAACCCCAAUCAAAUCCUAAACCAAAUUAUAAUCAAAUCCUAAACCAAAUCCUAAACCCUAAAUAAAAUCCUAACCAAACCCUAAACCCUAACCCUAAACCAAAUCCUAAUCCUAAAUCAAAUCCUAAUCCAAAUUCUAAAUCCUAAUCCUAAUCCAAAUCCUAAAUCCUAAUCCUAAAGCAAAUCCUAAUCCUAAAUCAAAUCCUAAUCCAAACCCUAAAUUCUAAUCCUAAAAUAAAUCCUAAUCAGAACUCUAAAUCCUAAAUCCUAAAUCA